ACGUACACUCCUACGGGAGGCAGCAGUGGGGAAUUUUGGACAAUGGGCGAAAGCCUGAUCCAGCCAUGCCGCGUGCAGGAUGAAGGCCUUCGGGUUGUAAACUGCUUUUGUACGGAACGAAACGGCCUUUUCUAAUAAAGAGGGCUAAUGACGGUACCGUAAGAAUAAGCACCGGCUAACUACGUGCCAGCAGCCGCGGUAAUACGUAGGGUGCAAGCGUUAAUCGGAAUUACUGGGCGUAAAGCGUGCGCAGGCGGUUAUGUAAGACAGUUGUGAAAUCCCCGGGCUCAACCUGGGAACUGCAUCUGUGACUGCAUAGCUAGAGUACGGUAGAGGGGGAUGGAAUUCCGCGUGUAGCAGUGAAAUGCGUAGAUAUGCGGAGGAACACCGAUGGCGAAGGCAAUCCCCUGGACCUGUACUGACGCUCAUGCACGAAAGCGUGGGGAGCAAACAGGAUUAGAUACCCCUGUAGUCCC
rnacentral:rRNA from 1 species